UACAGAGGGUGCGAGCGUUACUCGGAAUUACUGGGCGUAAAGCGUGCGUAGACGGCUAUCUAAGUCGGGUGUGAAAGCCCCGGGCUCAACCUGGGAAUUGCAUUCGAGACUGAAUAGCUAGGGUGCGGUAGAGGGAAGCGGAAUUUCCGGUGUAGCGGUGAAAUGCGUAGAUAUCGUGAGGAAGACCAGUUGCGAAGGCGGAUCUCUGGGCAGUUCCUGACACUGAGGCACGAAGGCCAGGGGAGCAAACGGG
rnacentral:rRNA from 1 species